rnacentral:lncRNA from 1 species
GUUCAAGGACCAUCAAAGGGGUCCCCAAAGAGUCCUUCUGGGCUCUUUCCCCAUUAUCUUACCAUCCUACCAGUCAGAGAGAGGAUCGUUAUUGGAGAUCUACUGUUUACUAACGUAUUGGAUGGAGGUGGUGCCUGCUCUCAUGGCAGAGGGAAAGACCUCAUCCACUGAUACUGCAGACGCCAGCCUGAAUGAGUGUUCCAGAACCCAAGAAAAGCGAGAUGUGGUGUUGCUGUUCAUAUCCUUGUUCCAUGCACAACCACCUCUGUUUCACCUGCCUCAUAUCCAGGAGCCCUUUAUCCCUAAUGUGGAACAGCUGAUUCUGGGCCAGAAUCACAGGCAGGUAGACCAUGGCCAGGCUCAGUUCCCAGCAGGAAAGCUCUGUCACCUGCAGGAUCACAAAGUGAACCUUCACAGAGCUCUCUGGGGUGAGUGCAUUGUUGCACCCAAGACUUUCAGCUUCCCUCGCUGUCAGGGGACCUGCCUGGCUCUGACCAGUGAGC